UUGGCUAAGAGUUCUAACACUUUUUCUUUUGUUUUCAGUUUGGUUUUCUUUGAGUAAGGAGGUAAUAAUUUCCAAGUCACACGACCAUCUACGUUGUCUUCCUUGAGAUGAAGCAUGCCUCGCAGCACAUGGAACAUACGGCUCCAAUCAAAGUGUUGGGAUUUGGACAAAGCUCAACGAUUAUCUGGGAAGGGAAAAGUUUUCGAAGGUCUCUUUGCUCAAAUCGAGAAGGUUAAGCUGUUGAAUUUUUUAAGUGGUAUUUACUAUCACGUGGAUUGAACAUCAGGACUAUAGCUGUAAUAGUUUGUAGUGUUCGCUUUGGGCUUGGGCUAACACGACUUUAAAACGUGUCACUUGGGUCUAAGGCUCGCUUCCUUAUAUACCUUUGCCAAUGUGGUAUUUGCCUAUUAUAGCACAAUGACGUCCUCUUUAUUCUGGAUAUAUCUUUGCCAACGGAAACCAAAAGAUGACAUGAUUAUUGGACUUUCCGUGUUAUCUGGAUUUCUGGAGGUGUAAUGGUUUAGAGUAAACUGUAAUAAAUGCACUGUAAAAUGUAUAAGAAAUAAGGGAGACUUUUGAGGAGAGAAAUAUGUGCAUAAAUUCUUAAUGUUGUUUCUCCCAAUUUACUGAAUUUUCAGCCCUGAUUU